UGAGGAAUAUUGGGCAAUGCCCGCAAGGGUGACCCAGCAACGCCGCGUGGAGGAUGAAUGUCGUAAGAUUGUAAACUCCUGUUAGAGGGGAAGAAUAGUACCGGUUGGACCGGUAUAUGACUGUACCCUCAGAGAAAGCCCCGGCUAACUACCUGCCAGCAGCCGCGGUAAUACGUAGGGGGCAAGCGUUGUCCGGAUUUACUGGGUGUAAAGGGCGCGCAGGCGGGAUAAAAAGUCAGUGGUGAAAUCCUACAGCUUAACUGUAGAACUGCCUUUGAUACGUUUAUUCUUGAGUUCGGGAGAGAGAGACGGAAUUCCAGGUGUAGUGGUGAAAUACGUAGAUAUCUGGAAGAACACCAGUUGCGAAGGCGGUCUCUUGGUCCGACACUGACGCUGAGGCGCGAAAGCGUGGGGAGCAAACA
rnacentral:rRNA from 1 species